GUUACCCGCGACAGGACGGAAAGACCCCGUGGAGCUUUACUGUAGCCUGAUAUUGAAAUUCGGCACAGCUUGUACAGGAUAGGUAGGAGCCUUUGAAACGUGAGCGCUAGCUUACGUGGAGGCGCUGGUGGGAUACUACCCUAGCUGUGUUGGCUUUCUAACCCGCACCACUUAUCGUGGUGGGAGACAGUGUCAGGCGGGCAGUUUGACUGGGGCGGUCGCCUCCUAAAAGGUAACGGA
rnacentral:rRNA from 1 species